UUGAAAUCCUCUUCUUGAAACCUUAAACUUUUUGACGCAAUGGCAACACCGAGAACUUGAAACUUGAAUUGAACUGGACCAGACUAGCUCUGAUACCAUAUUACAAACUUAAACUUAACGAGCUAAGAUGAGUGAGUGGGCUAAGGCAAGAGUCCGUGAUGAGUGAGAUGGGCUUACUCAGGCUAGGACUAACUAUUACUAAAAGGUUAGAACUAAGCAAUUAGUUAAUUGGCCUUUCACCCUUAUAAGCUGUUAUGAGAGGGAGUGAUGAAGGGAAAACCUAGUAUUGCAAUUACAUAUGCCUUAGAAAAGUAGUUAUAACUGAUAUAACUGAUAGAAGCAGUUACUAGCUAGAAGUAAUAUAAAAAUAGAAACAAUACCUACAAUCACUCAUUCAAGAAUCAAAUA
rnacentral:misc_RNA from 1 species